GGUUCUUCAGCCUCGUUCCCGGGUAGUAUAAAGUUUGCUGUCUCCUUUGUUCGCCCUCGUUGCGCAGUAGUCCUAGCGGCUUCUCUGUUCCGUUCCUGGGUCCAGCAGCUGUCACUCGUGUUGAGCUGCUUGAAAGGCCCACUCGGCGAGCUCGUAGGAGCUUGAGACCGUCGCCACCCCUCCGACUCACCAGGGGGGAAAAAUGGUUGAAGCAGAUCGUCCAGGAAAGCUCUUCAUUGGUGGGCUUAAUACGGAAACAAAUGAGAAAGCCCUUGAAGCAGUAUUUGGCAAAUAUGGACGAAUAGUGGAAGUGCUCUUGAUGAAAGAUCGUGAAACCAACAAAUCAAGAGGAUUUGCCUUUGUCACCUUUGAAAGUCCAGCAGAUGCUAAGGAUGCAGCCAGAGACAUGAAUGGAAAGUCCUUAGAUGGAAAAGCCAUCAAGGUGGAACAAGCUACCAAACCAUCAUUUGAAAGUGGUAGACGUGGCCCACCUCCACCUCCAAGAAGCAGAGGCCCUCCCAGAGGUCUUAGAGGAGGAAGAGGAGGAAGUGGAGGAACUAGGGGACCUCCCUCUCGUGGAGGGCACAUGGAUGAUGGUGGUUAUUCCAUGCAUUUUAACAUGAGUUCUUCCAGGGGACCUCUUCCAGUAAAAAGAGGACCACCACCAAGAAGUGGGGGUCCUCCUCCUAAAAGAUCAGCUCCUUCAGGACCAGUUCGCAGCAGCAGUGGAAUGGGAGGAAGAGCUCCUGUAUCACGUGGAAGAGAUAGUUAUGGAGGCCCACCUCGAAGGGAACCCCUGCCCUCUCGUAGAGAUGUUUAUUUGUCCCCAAGAGAUGAUGGAUAUUCUACUAAAGACAGCUAUUCAAGCAGAGAUUACCCAAGUUCUCGUGACACAAGAGAUUAUGCACCACCUCCAAGAGAUUAUACUUACCGUGAUUAUGGUCAUUCCAGUUCACGUGAUGACUAUCCAUCAAGAGGCUAUAGUGAUAGAGAUGGAUAUGGUCGUGAUCGUGAUUAUUCAGAUCAUCCAAGUGGAGGUUCCUACAGAGAUUCAUAUGAGAGUUAUGGUUGAGGACUUAUGGUCAUUGUGGUCAUGGAGUGCUGAUUUAUUCACAAUAGAUAAAGCUGGCAGCAGGAGAAAUCAAAUGCUAAGAGUUGUUGAAGCAGAAGAAUGCUGAUUGUCGAUCAGUCACAGCAGUCGCAUAAGCAGUGCUCAUCAGAAUUGGUUUGGUGCAGGCAGUAGAUUUUUGUCUUCAAGGGUUCUUGUGGAUCUGAGGAAGGCAUUAGUGUUGGUUAACACUCUUAACUAGGGAGUGGUAGUUACUUAAAAUUGACCAAAUGGAGAAAGGGAAAUAAAGAAAUUGGCAAGUGGAGGUACUCAGGAAGUUCUUGUGGCUAUUUAUGUAGAGUAUAGCUUUGGCUUUCAUUUUGUUCAGCUGAAGCAACUCUGCAAUUUAGAAUUAAGUAUCACUGACCAUUUCAGAAAGUUGAGUUAGGGGCUGAGGAUGUAGCUCAGUGGUAGAGCACCUGCCUAGCAUGCCUGAAGGCCCUGGGUUCAUCCCUAACACUGCAAAAAAAAAAAGUUGAAUUGUGAUAGGCAUUAAGUGGUAACUUGUAACUCUCUUUCAAGUAAUAUCUUGAUUUUUUUUUUUUUUUCAGCAAAUGAAACUUAUUCUGGCAUUAGCUUAUCAGGAAUGAGGGUUCAGUUUUACAGCAAAACUAAAGCAAGGAGUAACAUGGGGAAAAUGAAAGUAACAACUGGAAACAUUGCUAGAAUGGUGGAAAGCACACUUGAAACUGGAAACAAAUUGGUCACUUGGUUAUUGUAUCAUUUUAUAAGCUUACUUUACCCACAGCUCCCAUUCUUGGAAACAAAUCAUGGUAAAACCAGUUUAUUGCUUUGGAGACUAGAGCCAAUAGUUUAAGUAUUAAUGUUCUCAAAACAGAGUUGUUGCAUUAGAGGAAGCAGCUCAACUUCUGAGAAUUUUUGCAUAGUAUAAUACUAUCACAUUUAACAACUGUGAUUCAGGAAAAUAAAUUUUAACCCUCAUUGGUCACAUUCCUAAGUCAGACCAUGAGGAUACUGACCAAUUAAGUAGUUGCACUUGAAUAGCUAUCUUAGCUCAAGUCUUCCAUAAUCUAAUUACUUGAGUUGGUGCUUCUGUGAGGACUUUUUUGGCUCUUGAGAUUUUAUUUAGAUUUCUUGAAGACAGUGUAGAAUAGACUAAUUGUAGUAUGAAUACUAAAUUCAGAGUAAGGAGUAUGCUUAAAUUACCAGAUACUUUUUUAACAGAUAACUUAAAGACCCAGAAGGCUUAGUUUUUCCAUUAGUAAAAGAGUUGGUCUUGAUUCAUUUUACUUUAUAUUGGUUGUAAAAGAAACGGAAUGAUAAAAUGUUUUCCUUGUUUGACUGGUAGUUGAAUAUAGAACUUAGGUAUUAUAGAUCAUUUUCACUUUUUGGAAUGUUUUGUAUUGAGACAAUAAAACUUAAACGUGCA